AUACGGAGGACGCGAGCGUUAUCCGGAUUCAUUGGGUUUAAAGGGUGCGCAGGCGGCCGUGCAAGUCAGCGGUGAAAGCCCGGCGCCUAACGCCGGAACUGCCUUUGAUACUUCCGAGCUGGAAUACGGAUGCCGUGGAGGAAUGAGUAGUGUAGCGGUGAAAUGCAUAGAUAUUACUCAGAACACCGAUUGCGAAGGCAUCUCACGAAUCCGUCAUUGACGCUGAGGCACGAAAGCGUGGGGAUCAAACAGGAUUAGAUACCCUGGUAGUCCACGCAGUAAACGAUGAUGACUAACCGUCGGCGAUACACAGUCGGUGGCCAAGCGAAAGCGAUAAGUCAUCCACCUGGGGAGUACGUUCGCAAGAAUGAAACUCAAAUGAAUUGACGGGG
rnacentral:rRNA from 1 species